GUUAAAUGUAAUCACAAUUACAGACAAUUUUGAAAUGAAUGCAAGGGCUGUAUAGCCAGCCAUGGUACAAAAUGUAGUUAACUUCAUCAUCAAUGCUCCAGACUAAAAAAUAUUGAUUCAAUUUCAGAUUAUUUAAAAUUUUCAAAAUUGUAUCUAGAGUGGGGCACCCAUAUUCGCCGGGGACACAAUUUCGCCGUUUUAUGAUUUUGAGGUGUAAAAACUUCAAAGGAUGGCUGAAAUGGAAGACAUAUACCGGUAAAUGAUAUUAUAUAACAAAUAUGAUUAUUUUUUAUAACUGAGACAAAAUUGCGGAACCUACUGAAAAGGACCGAAAAACGGAC
rnacentral:lncRNA from 1 species